rnacentral:rRNA from 1 species
GACAGAGGGUGCAAACGUUGUUCGGAAUUACUGGGCGUAAAGCGAGUGUAGGCGGUCCGCUAAGUCGGGUGUGAAAGCCCUGGGCUCAACCCAGGAAGUGCACUCGAAACUGGCGGGCUAGAGUACUGGAGAGGUUGGUGGAAUUCUCGGUGUAGAGGUGAAAUUCGUAGAUAUCGAGAGGAACACCGGUGGCGAAGGCGGCCAACUGGACAGAUACUGACGCUGAGGUGCGAAAGCGUGGGGAGCAAACAGG